rnacentral:other from 1 species
GUGUCCCUGCAUUGUGCGUAAGUGGUUAGUCGUCAAGCCUAACAUCGACAGCAAGGGAGCCGAGUCCAAGAAGACUGUGUGCACGUUCCGCCCCAAGUGGAAAAGCCUGACGUCUUCAUCUUGGUGCCCACCUAAUCAAACAGGUUUGAGCUGAUCGCCCUUACGGCAAUGCGGGGGCCUU